CAAAACACAGGACGCGCGAAUUCGCACGAGUGUUCGGGCUUGCGAGGGGUGUUUGGAUAUUGUGUGGUGGCUGCACUGAGGACAUCAAAAUUGGGAGCAAUCAACAGUAUUUGGUUUCAAGCUCUCAUUUAAGGUCCUUUGGUUAUCGUAAGUAAUGAGUGAGUGCUGAAGACUACAGAUGAUGGUCACCGUUUGAGCGUCACCGACGGCCGCCGAGCGUCGGCGGCGGGUCAGGCCGGGCGAUACGCGC